ACGGGCACCUCGGCGCCGUCGGGGCAGAGCCGUCGGGUUGCGGGGCCCUGUGAGCCGCGAGCCGUCGCUUGCUUUCCGGGACUCCUGCGGCGCGGAGGGGUCGGUGCCGGGUGCACAGUCUCCGUCAGUCACCGUCGAGGCGCGGGGGUCGUGUGAGUGAAAUCGGGAUGCGGGCACAAAACAGGCACCCGGCCCUGGUUGGGACUCGUCGGCCGCCGCUCGGCACCUCUGGCGUCGCAGUUCCUGCCCCGGACCCGGCCCUGGUCCGCGGCUGCGGGCGCCGCCUCGUUCCUGUGAGCUUGCGGGCGACCGAGCUCCGCCGCCCUCCCCACCCCCGACCCGACCCGGGUGGGGCGGCCCUCGCGUUCCCCGGCGGCUCUCCGAGUCCAGCGUGGAGAGUAAAUUCAGUAGAUUCGUCUUGGUUGACAUAAGUCCAGCACAUGCAUUUGGAAUAAAUGAACGAGUUUCCCCUUGGCAUCCAUCCUGAGAUUAAGGUGUGUGCGAUGAAGGUGUCUGACACUCAGAUGGCGCAGUGACCUUGCCACAUGGAUGUGCUACAGUGGUGUAAGCGUAUGUGUGUGCAAACUUUUUAUCCACCGAUGGUACAAAUUUCUUACAGCAUUAAAAACUGGCCCUUCAGAA